UGUUUAUACUCUUAAUCAGUGGUAGAUGUUUCCCCUGUUUCCAGUCUUUAUGCUAAGCUAACAUCUGCUUGAGAUAACUUCAUAUUUAGCGUACACACCUGAGAGUUGUAUAGAUCUGAACAAUAACUCUCAGAUAAAUCUAAUUAGUGUGUUAAUAUUUCAUCAGAUCAGUGGGCGCUGUUCAUGACAGAUAAUAUUCAG